rnacentral:rRNA from 1 species
AUUGAACGCUGGCGGCAUGCUUUACACAUGCAAGUCGAACGGUAACAGGCCGCAAGGUGCUGACGAGUGGCGAACGGGUGAGUAAUGCAUCGGAACGUGCCCAGUCGUGGGGGAUAACGCAGCGAAAGCUGUGCUAAUACCGCAUACGAUCUAUGGAUGAAAGCGGGGGACCGUAAGGCCUCGCGCGAUUGGAGCGGCCGAUGUCAGAUUAGGUAGUUGGUGGGGUAAAGGCUCACCAAGCCAACGAUCUGUAGCUGGUCUGAGAGGACGACCAGCCACACUGGGACUGAGACACGGCCCAGACUCCUACGGGAGGCAGCAGUGGGGAAUUUUGGACAAUGGGCGCAAGCCUGAUCCAGCAAUGCCGCGUGCAGGAAGAAGGCCUUCGGGUUGUAAACUGCUUUUGUACGGAACGAAAAGGUCUGGGUUAAUACCCUGGGCUGAUGACGGUACCGUAAGAAUAAGCACCGGCUAACUACGUGCCAGCCGCCGCAGUAAGAC